GAUGAACGCUGGCGGCGUGCCUAAUACAUGCAAGUCGAGCGAACAGACGAGGAGCUUGCUCCUCUGACGUUAGCGGCGGACGGGUGAGUAACACGUGGAUAACCUACCUAUAAGACUGGGAUAACUUCGGGAAACCGGAGCUAAUACCGGAUAAUAUAUUGAACCGCAUGGUUCAAUAGUGAAAGACGGUUUUGCUGUCACUUAUAGAUGGAUCCGCGCCGCAUUAGCUAGUUGGUAAGGUAACGGCUUACCAAGGCAACGAUGCGUAGCCGACCUGAGAGGGUGAUCGGCCACACUGGAACUGAGACACGGUCCAGACUCCUACGGGAGGCAGCAGUAGGGAAUCUUCCGCAAUGGGCGAAAGCCUGACGGAGCAACGCCGCGUGAAUGAUGAAGGUCUUCGGAUCGUAAAACUCUGUUAUUAGGGAAGAACAAAUGUGUAAGUAACUAUGCACGUCUUGACGGUACCUAAACAGAAAGCCACGGCUAACUACGUG
rnacentral:rRNA from 1 species